UACGGGGGGGGCAAGCGUUGUUCGGAAUUACUGGGCGUAAAGGGCUCGUAGGUGGCCAACUAAGUCAGACGUGUAAUCCCUCAGCUUAACUGGGGAACUGCGUCUGAUACUGGAUGGCUUGAGUUUGGGAGAGGGAUGCGGAAUUCCAGGUGUAGCGGUGAAAUGCGUAGAUAUCUGGAGGAACACCGGUGGCGAAGGCGGCAUCCUGGACCAACACUGACACUGAGGAGCGAAAGCCAGGGGAGCAAACGGG
rnacentral:rRNA from 1 species